rnacentral:tRNA from 1 species
ACAUAGCUCAGUUGGUAGAGCAUGAGACUCUUAAUCUCAGGAUCUUGGGUUUGAGCCCCACAUGAGGUGAAAUA